rnacentral:rRNA from 1 species
UACGUAGGGACCGAGCGUUGUCCGGAAUCAUUGGGCGUAAAGGGCGUGUAGGCGGCCUUUUAAGUCCUGCGUGAAAUCCUGCGGCUCAACCGCAGACGGUCGUGGGAAACUGGAAGGCUAGAGUGCGGGAGAGGAGAGUGGAAUUCCCGGUGUAGCGGUGAAAUGCGCAGAUAUCGGGAAGAACACCCGUGGCGAAGGCGGCUCUCUGGAACGCAACUGACGCUGAGACGCGAAAGCGUGGGGAGCAAACAGG